rnacentral:rRNA from 1 species
UAGGCGUACGGGUGAGUAACACGUGGAUCAUCUACCUCUUAGUGGGGAAUAACUCUGGGAAACCGGAGCUAAUACCGCAUAAGCCUGGAAAGGGAAAAGCCCCUAUUUUAAAAAGAUGGGGGCGCUGAGAGAGGAGUCCGCGGCCGAUUAGCUAGUUGGCAGGGUAAAAGCCUACCAAGGCAUUGAUCGGUAGCCGGCCUGAGAGGGCACACGGCCACACUGGCACUGAAACACGGGCCAG